GGGCUCCCAGCACACCGUGCCCCGAGUGGGAAGGCGCCAGUUAUUAGGACCUGAGGUGGGCAGCAAAACUUCAUCCAUCCCAGUUUCCAGCAAGCCAAGGAAGUUAAUGCACACCAGCGAAGACCACUUGCGGGUAUAGCCAAGUACAUGCCCAGACACUGAAGCAGCCCAGACUGCAGAUGGGUGCAGAUGGUGUGAACAGUACCCGGCUCACAGAGGAGUCAACAAAGGUCUUCCAGAAGAAUAAGCGAAUGAAUGAACAAUGUUGCUCCUCUCCGAUUUCCCAGCUGGCUGGGCUGCUCCGCAGGUCUGUUAGUUCGCCCUGCAGACCCCGUUGUGUUGCUUCCCUC